rnacentral:rRNA from 1 species
UUUAUGGAGAGUUUGAUCCUGGCUCAGGAUGAACGCUGGCGGCGUGCCUAAUACAUGCAAGUCGAGCGAACGGACGAGAAGCUUGCUUCUCUGAUGUUAGCGGCGGACGGGUGAGUAACACGUGGAUAACCUACCCAUAAGACUGGGAUAACUUCGGGAAACCGGAGCUAAUACCGGAUAAUAUUUUGAACCGCAUGGUUCAAAAGUGAAAGACGGUCUUGCUGUCACUUAUGGAUGGAUCCGCGCUGCAUUAGCUAGUUGGUAAGGUAACGGCUUACCAAGGCAACGAUGCAUAGCCGACCUGAGAGGGUGAUCGGCCACACUGGAACUGAGACACGGUCCAGACUCCUACGGGAGGCAGCAGUAGGGAAUCUUCCGCAAUGGGCGAAAGCCUGACGGAGCAACGCCGCGUGAGUGAUGAAGGUCUUCGGAUCGUAAAACUCUGUUAUUAGGGAAGAACAUAUGUGUAAGUAACUGUGCACAUCUUGACGGUACCUAA